rnacentral:lncRNA from 1 species
GUUCUCUCUUUCCGGACCUGGCCGAGCAGGAGGCGCCAUCAUGGGAGUGGACAUCCGCCAUAACAAGGACCGAAAGGUUCGGCGCAAGGAGCCCAAGAGCCAGGAUAUCUACCUGAGGCUGUUGGUCAAGUUAUACAGGUUUCUGGCCAGAAGAACCAACUCCACAUUCAACCAGGUUGUGUUGAAGAGGUUGUUUAUGAGUCGCACCAACCGGCCGCCUCUGUCCCUUUCCCGGAUGGUGAGUGGCUGGUCCAGAGAGCACGGUAGACCUGGGAGCCGCUGGGUCUUGUCUGUCUGGAAGGGAGGCAGGACUUGGAGCUCUGGGAGCAACCAGGGCAUCAAGGGUUUGUCUCAGCCAGUCGCGAGCGUAGAGCUUGGACUGUUGGUUGGAACUGAGUGUCCAUGGGCAGUGGGCAAGUCUCCUGGUCCUCCUCUCCUUCUCUUUGUGAGGUGGAGGUGUCCUGGUGGCUUCAGGAGAUUGCCCCAAGUCAUAACUGAGUUUUAUGUCAAAGGCUCUGCUGAGGGAGGCCCUAUUGAACAGUCUGCAUUUUUUUUUUUAUCUGGAGCUUUCCCCAGCUGGACCUGAGGAGAGGCCUGUGGGGUUUAAGGGGUGUGGUGUGAGUGGGGGGUCCCGUUAGAGGGCACAGCUGCCCUGGCCUGGGGAUGCCUCAAGCGGGGCUGAAUGUAAACACCAGAACAACUUACGACGUACAUCCUCCCCACCCUAAGAUCCGGAAGAUGAAGCUUCCUGGCCGGGAAAACAAGACGGCCGUGGUUGUGGGGACCAUAACUGAUGAUGUGCGGGUUCAGGAGGUACCCAAACUGAAGGUGAGCUGGCGGGGGCUGGGCAGACCCAUCAGACCCUUGCUGUACUGUGCUGUGCUGUGCUGUGCUGUGCUGUGCUGUGCUGGUCCAUCCUCAGUCUUGCCACCGCUGGUGAGGCAAGCAUCCUGCCUGUCUGAGUGGCUUUGAGGAUUGGUGUGGGUCGUCUCUGGCAUGGUUGAUGGUGGGGUCCCCUGGGCAAGCUUCUUCUGGGGCAAGUUGUAAACUGUUAGUGCUGGCCCCUAGAGCCAGACAGCCUGGGCUCAAGUCUAGACUCCUUUGUCACCUCUGCACAGGUCUUUUUUUGGCCCAGCUUCCUUGCUGUAGUUUCUAGCAUAACACCAGGGAUGUGGUGGUGAAAGUUCCGGAAGUGUUGAGAACUGCUGCUGUCAGCCCAGGGUGCUCCGGGUAGUAAACGAUAGUGUUGGUUACCAGGGCUCUGCUGCGCCAAGGCAGUGGAGGGUGAGUCCUGGCAGCCCCUGGGUGACCACGCAGGGGUCUGACCCGCCAGCCUUGUCCUCUCCACCAGGUAUGUGCACUGCGCGUGACCAGCCGGGCCCGCAGCCGCAUCCUCAGGGCAGGGGGCAAGAUCCUCACUUUCGACCAGCUGGCCCUGGACUCCCCUAAGGGCUGUGGCACUGUCCUGCUCUCCGGUCCUCGCAAGGGCCGAGAGGUGUACCGGCAUUUCGGCAAGGCCCCAGGAACCCCGCACAGCCACACCAAGUGAGUAUCAGGCCCCCAGCCCUGCCCUCUCCCCAGACUCAGCCUGCAGGGCCAGGCCUGGCCACACUUGGGCUGCUUCUCCUAUCCCUCGUACCAGCCAGCCCCAGGCCUUCUGGAACUCUCAGCUGCCUCAUCCUGCCUGCUUUUCCCUUCAACACUGCUUGGAGCUGUGUUUUCCAGGGCCUGAGCAGGCAUCUCCUGGGGAGCAUGCAGUUCACCGGCCUUUGCCAGCCCAGGCUGGGACCCUCCAGGUGGUGGGGCAGGUGCUUCCAUAGCCCCUCCUGGCUCCUUGGCUUCCCACUCUGCCAAGCUUUUCCAGCAGCAUUGACUCUCCUGGGGCUGAAUGUGACAGGCUUGUGGUGUUCCUGUGCCACUCCACAAUGGCCUCCUUUAAGAGGGCCCCCCUCUCACUCCCUCCUCUCCCCACAGACCCUACGUCCGCUCCAAGGGCCGGAAGUUCGAGCGUGCCAGAGGCCGACGGGCCAGCCGAGGCUACAAAAACUAACCCUGGAUCCUACUCUCUUAUUAAAAAGAUUUUUGCUGACA